rnacentral:rRNA from 1 species
GGGGAAUAUUGGACAAUGGGGGCAACCCUGAUCCAGCAAUGCCGCGUGUGUGAAGAAGGUUUUCGGAUUGUAAAGCACUUUCGACGGGGACGAUGAUGACGGUACCCGUAGAAGAAGCCCCGGCUAACUUCGUGCCAGCAGCCGCGGUAAUACGAAGGGGGCUAGCGUUGCUCGGAAUGACUGGGCGUAAAGGGCGUGUAGGCGGUUUGUACAGUCAGAUGUGAAAUCCCCGGGCUUAACCUGGGAGCUGCAUUUGAUACGUGCAGACUAGAGUGUGAGAGAGGGUUGUGGAAUUCCCAGUGUAGAGGUGAAAUUCGUAGAUAUUGGGAAGAACACCGGUGGCGAAGGCGGCAACCUGGCUCAUAACUGACGCUGAGGCGCGAAAGCGUGGGGGAGCAAACAGGAUUAGA